CUUCCGAUCUCUUGGAGUCUACUAAAUAAAAGAAGGGAGAAUUGAAAGAAAGAUUGGGUAGAGAAGUUACGAAAGUCUAGCGCAUUGAGAGGAAGGAGGGAAACAUGAUUUAGUAGAAUUAUAAAGACUCUAAUAAUGAGCAUAAUUUUACAAUAGUUAUUGUAUUAGUUUUGGUUUUGAUGAUGAUAUUUUAUUUUAGUGCAAAUUCUUAAAUUUACGAAUUCUUCAAAAAAGUGUGAAGUCCCGUUUGAAUCUUUAGAACUUAAUUUAAAUUUAGAUAAUAUUUAGGUUCUGUUAAUGUUUGUUGUCAAGGUUAUGUUGUAGAUUAAGAUGUUCUAUUUUAUAUUUGUAUUGGUUAACUGAGUUGAGCCUGAAGAGGAUGUAUUAACAUAUUGAAAGCAUUUAUUUAAUAAAUAUGAACUUUAUUACAUACUGCAGAAUGUGCUGUUUGUGAUUCUAAUUAAUGAAUAAUGGUUAAUGCAAUUUUAAACUUAAGGAAGUGAUAGUAAGAUGACCAACUUUUUCUAGAGCCACUCCAUGAUACACACUUACCAGAUUUAUCAGGAAACAUCCAGACAUGUGACAUUGUUUCCAUAUGUGUUUUCACAUUCUUCUCUCCACAUUGCCCAAUAACAAAUUUUUUAAUAUAUAUUGUAUAAUAUGCUCUGUUUUUGUUAUUUAUCUCUAUUCUAGUUGUAUGUAUUUUUCAUUUGUUAUUAAAGUGACUCAGAUGUUGACCCAGACAUUACUAAAAAAAAAAGAAGAUUUUAUUGAUAUUGCAAUCAUUAUAAUUUUUGUUAUCUGAAUUGUAAAACAGUCACAAUUCACAAGAUUUGCAAUGUUAAAAAUUAAAUAAAAAUUUAAUAUUAUCUUGAUAUAAUAUCUUCUGUGUGGUUUAACAUCUCUUCAUCUAGUAGAUAUCAACUAAAGGAACAUUCCAGUGCCACCACAGAGUGCCCAAAUUUUUAAGAGAUCAGCUGUUAGAUGGAGGAUAGGAUUUAAUGAGCUGGGCCUGGACUUUUGAAAAAUUUGGGGAUGUGGAACAGGGACUUCAGUCUCUUUCAACUGAUAUAAAAUUCAAUACUGGUAGGUAAAGUUUAAGACUGCCUGUUAUUAAUCAUAGGUCCACAAUAAUAAUGCUCUUAAUUUCAAAGGAGAGCAUGAUAAACAAUGUGUGAUCUAUUAAAUUAUAAAUUAAUAGUUUUGCGUUAAUCAUAAAUACUUAUUAACCCUACAACUGCCAGCUGCCGAUUUAAUCGGCCGACAGGCCGUUCGCGAACUG
rnacentral:lncRNA from 1 species